CACAGAGCGCAUGACGCAUGAGGAAGAAGCAGCUAUCGUAUUUUCGAACAGAUUUUUAAACUUUUUGUCACCACACCAUGGCUUUUAGAGGGAAAAAGCGCUUUUACACUCUCGAGGAGACACGGGAUAUAGUACUUGGAGACAAGGAAUUUGAAGACAUUGUACUUCAAGACUCCUCUUCUGACGAGUCGGAUCUGUUGGCCACAACCAGCCGGUCAAAUUACGAAUAUCCCCCAGAUGAAAGCAGUGAUGAUGAUGAUGGCAAACAAGAGUCUGGUGAGCCAAGCAGACCUUCAUCACCACAGCCAGGUUCAUCUGGAGAGCAGAGCAGGUCACAGGCUGCUUUGACAAGAAUACUAAGGUGAGGGUCUAAAAUGUUUUGUUGUGCUUAGCAUAAACUAACUUUGCAAAUGAGUAAUUGUCUCUAACUUUUGCAUUUUGCAGCUCUGAAAAAGAAAGUCUGCCACCUCCACCUCAGUCAACACCUCAGGAAGGAGCAGUGUAUAAAAGGGCGAGACGUGUAUUGUCCAAAAUGCAGAGUGCUCUAGCACCAGACACAUUCUCACCUUCAACUGGGCAAGGUGUGAGUUCCUCUCACAGUGGUGGUGAGGAGGAGGAGGAGGAGGAGGAAGAAGAAGAAGAUGAAGAUGAAGAAGAGGAGGAGGAGGAAGAUGAAGCUGAGGAUGAGGAGUACCAUCCACCCUCUGGUCCAGUGUCAAGAAAGUCAAAAAGGCAGUCUUCUGCAGAGCAGAGUGCUCCUUCAAAUCCACAAAGUGUGUCUGCCCCUCCCUCCAAGGAAGCCACUGUCAGGCCGCGAAAGGCACUCUCCAAGAGCAAGACGGGGAGGAAGCGAGCCAGUCCUGCUGCCACAUUACCUGCUCCUAGUGAUCGCUGGAAAAAUCGUGAUGAGGAGGACACUGCCCCAAUCCACGCCGUUUUGUGCCAGCAAGAGACACAGGACCUGUUUUGGACAAAAACGCUUCAUGGACAGUCCUGCAGUUGUUCCAGCUGUUUUUUAGCAGUGCCACUGUGAAUACAAUUAUUGUAAACACAAACACUAAU
rnacentral:lncRNA from 1 species